rnacentral:rRNA from 1 species
UACGUAGGGUGCAAGCGUUAAUCGGAAUUACUGGGCGUAAAGCGUGCGCAGGCGGCUUUGCAAGACAGAUGUGAAAUCCCCGGGCUUAACCUGGGAACUGCAUUUGUGACUGCAUGGCUGGAGUGCGGCAGAGGGGGAUGGAAUUCCGCGUGUAGCAGUGAAAUGCGUAGAUAUGCGGAGGAACACCGAUGGCGAAGGCAAUCCCCUGGGCCUGCACUGACGCUCAGACACGACAGCAUGGGGAGCGAACGGG